UACGUAGGGUGCAAGCGUUUGUUCGGAUUUACUGGGCGUAAAGGGCGCGUAGGCGGUCGUGACAAGUCACUUGUGAAAUCUCCGGGCUUAACUCGGAACGGUCAAGUGAUACUGUCGUGCUAGAGUACAGAAGGGGCAACUGGAAUUCUCGGUGUAGCGGUGAAAUGCGUAGAUAUCGAGAGGAACACCUGCGGCGAAGGCGGGUUGCUGGGCUGAUACUGACGCUGAGGCGCGAAAGCUAGGGGAGCGAACGGG
rnacentral:rRNA from 1 species